UACGAAGGGGGCUAGCGUUGUUCGGAAUUACUGGGCGUAAAGCGCACGUAGGCGGAUUUGUAAGUCAGGGGUGAAAUCCCGGGGCUCAACCUCGGAACUGCCUUUGAUACUGCAAGUCUCGAGUCCGAUAGAGGUGAGUGGAAUUCCUAGUGUAGAGGUGAAAUUCGUAGAUAUUCGCAAGAACACCAGUGGCGAAGGCGGCUCACUGGCCCGAUACUGACGCUGAGGCACGAAAGCGUGGGGAGCAAACAGGG
rnacentral:rRNA from 1 species